GCCGGGGGAUGCUACCUGAUCCGAGGUCAACCUUUGGAAAAUUGGGGGUUUUACGGCAAGAGUCCCUCCGGAUCCCAGUGCGAGACGUAAAGUUACUACGCAAAGGAGGCUCCGGGAGGGUCCGCCACUACCUUUGAGGGCCUACAUCAGCUGUAGGGCCCCAACACCAAGCAGAGCUUGAGGGUUGAAAUGACGCUCGAACAGGCAUGCCCGCCAGAAUGCUGGCGGGCGCAAUGUGCGUUCAAAGAUUCGAUGAUUCACUGAAUUCUGCAAUUCACAUUACUUAUCGCAUUUCGCUGCGUUCUUCAUCGAUGCCAGAACCAAGAGAUCCGUUGUUAAAAGUUUUGAUUAUUUGCUUGUACCACUCAGAAGAAACGUCGUUAAAUCAGAGUUUGGUUAUCCUCCGGCGGGCGCCGACCCGCCCGGGGGCGGGAGGCCGGGAGGGUCACGGAGACCCUACCCGCCGAAGCAACAGUUAUAGGUAUGUUCACAAAGGGUUGUAGAGCGUAAACUCAGUAAUGAUCCCUCCGCAGGUCCCCCCUACGGAA
rnacentral:rRNA from 1 species